rnacentral:rRNA from 1 species
CACGGGGGGAGCAAGCGUUGUUCGGAAUCACUGGGCGUAAAGGGCGUGUAGGCGGUCAAGUUAGUGGGACGUGAAAUGCCUCGGCUCACCCGAGGACCUGCGUCCCAAACUGCUUGGCUUGAGUAUGGGAGAGGAUGUGGGAAUUCCUGGUGUAGCGGUGAAAUGCGUAGAUAUUCGCAAGAACACCAGUGGCGAAGGCGGCUCACUGGCCCGGUACUGACGCUGAGGUGCGAAAGCGUGGGGAGCAAACAGG